rnacentral:lncRNA from 1 species
GGCAAUUACUGAAGAGGCUUGAAAAGGGGGAAAAUGAAAGCUCCAGAGAAGCAGCCUCUAGAAGCUCCAAUCUCCUCUCACAGACACAGACACUUCCGUUGGACCUAUUCCUCAGAUGGCUUCACAGACCCUGGAUAACAAGGAAACUGUUAUGGAUAACAGCCAACUGUAAGACUGGACAAACACCCCCAUACCCAUUCUUCCAGUUUCCUAAAGACACGUCGCCCCAAUGCCAGUAGGAAGUACUUAGGGAUCACAAGAACCCUAUUCCUGCCCCACCAUCACCU